UCUGAAUCAGGAUAGAAGAAUGUUCGGAUGAGAUAACUUGGUAUUUCAUGGAUAAAUGGGUAACAACAUCACAUUUGAAAUUGCUGUUUAGAGUCUCAUGUCCUGUACAUGUCCAGAUGUCUGCAAAAAAUAUAUAGUUUGUUUUAUUCUACAUCUUUAAUCCUUUCCUCUUCAGGUCCUCUUUAGCUUCUCUUAUUUGCUUCUGGAGCUCCUCGGCAGCCUGGUCACAGUCAUUAAAAGUGGCCACCCGGAAGCCCACCGUGGCCAGGGAGUAGCAGCCGAAGGACACAAGCAGGUACAGCGGCAUGGGCCAAGCCACCUCUCGGUAAGGACGCGGCACUUCCAAGUCCAACAGGUCGAAGGCCACCACCGCCCAGACGGCCAAGACGACCGAAACGCCGAACAACCACUCCAGAAGUUUGGUCAUGAUGGCAGCAGCCGGCCUGAAGUCCACAAAAAAGUUGCAGUGGCUACUGUGGAGGCGCUAUAUCGACAUCAGUGCACCAUAAAGACUUGAAGCAACUACCAAAGAAGAAACGGAUCAAAUCGGGUUUUUUCCCGCUACUUUGUGCAUAAGUGACAAGUGGAUUUCUGCCAUACGGAGCAUGAUACGGAGGGAUCACUCGACUCCUACAGAAAACUACAGACUGUGCUGUGAACAUUUUGUCUCUGGUCAGUGCCAACACCAAAUACACAAGCAGCCAUACAAUUGAUGAGAUGGUAGAGGUCAUUGGCUACAUUUUGGAUGAUCAGUUGGUGGCAGAGUUCUCCAAAUCCCCAGUGUAGGGAUUAAUGGGUGACAAGACCACCGACAUCUCUGUCACAAAGCAACUGGGUCUUGUUGUGAGCUUUUUAUGACCCAACCACGUGGAAAGCACUGUAGUCUAAACCAGGGUGCUACAUUUGGGUAGAGUGUCUGUUGGGGAUGGUGCAACUCUGUAUGACAGCAUCCUGCGACUCAUCAAAGAUGCCUAAAUGCUGCCAACCGACAAGCUAGCCUCCUUUGCAAGUGAUGGCGCUGCUGAUAACUGUCCACUGCGUGGCACACAGUCUCAAUCUGGCAGUGUCAGACUGCUUUAAGGGGCUGAAGGUAGUUUAAUACCUCACUAAAUAUGCCAGACUUUUUGGAACUAUAUUCUGGUUCUACCAGGCCUCCAGUAGUAGGAUCAGCAGUCUCAAGGACAUGGAGAGGCUUUUUGAACUCUCCCAAAUCAAACUGCAAGUACCGACCAAAUCCCUGAAAGAGGUGCUUCUGUGGCUUGUAUCUGCAGAAUCUGCUGAGCCGUAUCCCACCCAUAGCCUUGCAGCUGCUAUUGCCUUCACAGCCUCUGUCCAGACUGCAGAUAUGGAGAGGCUCUUUUCUGCAUUCAAAAUUGUGAAGACACUUCUGCGCAACAGACUGAAGGAGAGGCACUUGGAUGUCCGUUGUAAGGUGGCCAUUGAUGGACCAGACCAGGAGGCCUUGGACUACAAGGAGUGCAUGAGGGGAUUAUACAGAAUGAAAAAGAAGGACACUAAUAUGUUCUCUAUCUGGUUGCGAGAUGUGUGGAUAAAGUGUACUUUCAAUUUAAAGUUGGCACCUGAUUUGUGUAUGUAUAGUUUUAAUAAAUGAAAGCUUUAAAUGCC